rnacentral:lncRNA from 1 species
CAAAGUCUCUGCCUUACACCAUUUCUUUAUCUUCCAGUGCUGAACCCACAUGAGGUACUUAAUAUAAGCUAGAACAGUAGUUCUUCAUGUGAGGUGGAGGUGAGAGAACAUAUCAGAAUCACAUGGGGUGCUUUGAAAAAAUUCAUAUACCAGAAAGUCCCAUCUAAUUCUUAAGGUGCAAGAUUUUAAUUUUUUUUCAUGUUGUUUGUAUUUUUAGUGAUAAUUUCAACCUGCUUUUACAGGAUCUAGUACCUUCAUUGUGGGAACUUGGCUUAUGAUUAAGUCAGCACCACAAAACCAGUAGCUCGCUGCCAUCCGAACCCAAGAACUGUCUGUAAAGGAACAACAAGUUUUCCCCAAUGAUGCUUGACCUUCACAAUUCAUUUCAAUCUUCAUCUUUGAAAUGUCUGAAAUCUUUAGGGACUUGGAA